UACGUAGGGUGCGAGCGUUAAUCGGAAUUACUGGGCGUAAAGCGUGCGUAGGCGGUUUUUCAAGCUUGAUGUGAAAGCCCCGGGCUUAACCUGGGAAUGGCAUUGAGGACUGAGAGGCUAGAGUGCGGCAGAGGGAGGUGGAAUUCCACGUGGAGCAGUGAAAGGCGUAGAGAUGUGGAGGAGCACAGAGGGGGAAGGCAGCCUCCUGGGCCGACACUGACGCUGAGGGCACGAAAGCGUGGGGAGCAAACAGG
rnacentral:rRNA from 1 species